rnacentral:rRNA from 1 species
UACAGAGGGUGCAAGCGUUGUUCGGAAUUAUUGGGCGUAAAGCGCGUGUAGGCGGCUUUGCAAGUCGGGUGUGAAAGCCCUCAGCUCAACUGAGGAAGUGCGCCCGAAACUGCUUGGCUUGAGUACCGGAGAGGAUGGCGGAAUUCCCCAAGUAGAGGUGAAAUUCGUAGAUAUGGGGAGGAACACCGGUGGCGAAGGCGGCCAUCUGGACGGAUACUGACGCUGAGACGCGAAAGCGUGGGUAGCAAACAGG